rnacentral:rRNA from 1 species
AGUGAACGCUGGCGGUAGGCCUAACACAUGCAAGCCGAACGGCAGCACAGUAAGAGCUUGCUCUUACGGGUGGCGAGUGGCGGACGGGUGAGGAAUACAUCGGAAUCUACUUUUUCGUGGGGGAUAACGUAGGGAAACUUACGCUAAUACCGCAUACGACCUACGGGUGAAAGCAGGGGAUCUUCGGACCUUGCGCGAUUGAAGGAGCCGAUGUCGGAUUAGCUAGUUGGCGGGGUAAAGGCCCACCAAGGCGACGAUCCGUAGCUGGUCUGAGAGGAUGAUCAGCCACACUGGAACUGAGACACGGUCCAGACUCCUACGGGAGGCAGCAGUGGGGAAUAUUGGACAAUGGGCGCAAGCCUGAUCCAGCCAUGCCGCGUGGGUGAAGAAGGCCUUCGGGUUGUAAAGCCCUUUUGUUGGGAAAGAAAAGCAGCAGGUUAAUACCCCGCUGUUCUGACGGUACCCAAAGAAUAAGCACCGGCUAACUUCGUG